GAUGAGGUCGUGGGGGAGGAAGGAGAAGAGGGCAUGAAAUUCAUGGGGGAGGAAGAAGAGGAGGCCAUGGAGGUCGUGGGAGAGAGGGCAGGAGGCCACGGGGGAGGAAGAAGAUGCCCCCUUGUUUCUGAAAUUGGUCCGAUUUGAGCGGAUUCUCUUCCUCUUGGUCGGUCCCCUGGAUGUGCCUCCCUUGAUCUCUGCCUGCACAUUCUUUAUAAGCACCCUCCUGCGUCUUCGUUCAUGGAUCGACAGGUGCAUGGGCACUUGCCGCUGCAGCCAGAGUUGCCACCAAAUCAGAUUAGAAGUUUUUCAAACAGAUUCCUAUAUUUUGAAGUGGUUAUGCUCAUCACAUAGCUGGGGUAGAUCAUGUCUUACUAUAUAAUGUAUUUCAUCGUGUCUCAAGCUUCUGUGCUUAAUGGUACUGGAGAUAUAUAAACAGGACAAAGUAUACAAGUUAGUAAUGGGCACUUCAGAUGUGAUGUCAUGUGAGGAAGCCUUGGUAUGAUACAAUAAGAGAUGGUAAUUUGAGGGAGUUCCACACUAUGCUUUGCUGGACUACCCAUUUAUGUUUCCCUUAGGUAUUCCAAACUUAGUCCGAUCACAUGGGCGAUGGCUGAUUGAUGGCCUCUGCUUGGUACUACACGAUAAGUUGGAACUACUGAUGCUCCAAUUGCAGCCAGUUCUUUUGCAUGAUGCAAACAUUGAGGGUAUUAUUGACACAUACACCAAUGCCAGUAAAAAUUAUCAGACAUGAGGGGAUAUUUGACAUUACUGUUCUUUGAUUCGUGCCUCUCGGCCAAAGGGGAUGAGAUGGGUUGUGCAUAGACUCGUGUUUUACAAUUUUCUUUACAUCCGUUCAUUACAUGGAGAUCUAGAAAUUUGGUUUGUGUGUAGAAUUGCUGUUUUAAAAUCUUUGAUUCGUGACUCUCGGACAAAUUUUGUCGAUGUUUUGUUAUAAAUUUGUGUUCCUCUGAUUUGUCUCCCGUUUCCUGCAAUACGGUUCCUACACAAUCAGUUGCAUUCUUAUUAUGAAAUUAAUGUGUUGUAGUUUAUCAAUACCACCUGAAUUAGACCAUCUGAUUCAAGAUAGUAGCAUACUAGAAGAAAAGUACUUUCUGGGGAUCUAGAAAUGUUUCACUGGAUUAUGACUUGACCAGAGAUUCAGGGUACAAACACAAAUUGAAGAGAUUUUUCAAGAACUUGAUUAUGUUUACCAACUCAAGGAUGGUGAUUAUAUGGCUAUUUCUAUAAUGUCGCGCAGUUCAGCGUUCCUCUGGUCGCCCGCUUUAUGCCAUUGAUGUUUUCCUUUUCUAUAUCUAGAACUGCUGUUUCAAUUGGGUUUGUCAAGGUUUGACAUGCUUGUGGUGGUUAAUAUCUAGAAUUGUUUCAUGAACUAAUAUUAUUUUUAUCCAAACUUUAAGCCUUUUCUUAAUCCUCAUGUAAAAAGAUGGCCACGUCGGCGGCGCUAUGCGGCAACCAUAUCCGCAAGAACCGCACCCGUCGCAGGUAGGAACGCGCUACUGCACCUCGAGUCACACUAAACGGGGGUGCAACCCAUCAUUAUUUUCAGGUAGAGUACACAGAGGGCAGAAGUACAUUGACGGAAAUGAUGACACCCUUCCACUGAAGUUGACGGAAAUGAUGACACCCUUCCACUGAAGCUCGCAGACGGCACCGUGAACUGCGACAAUCGCUUCAUGUUUGAAACCGGCAAGAGGGCCACCAUCACGACGGAUUGAUCAUGGUUUCGUCACCAUGCUAACAUCCAGGAGGGCGACAUCUGCGCCUUCCAUUUCAAGCGCAAGGAAAGGCAUAAGGUCAUCACAUCGUCUCUCCCUCACCGUCCAUCGCAUCGUCUCUAGGCAUAAGGUCAUCAGCAGGAUUCGUCUUUAGCUUAUCUCAAUGCUGUGCUCUAUCAUUCACCUUGUAAGACUCUGCCCUAUCUUAUAAUAUGCACCUACUACCUCUUAUAUGUAUGAUGAUCGAACACUUUUCUCCUAAGCUUGUGUUAAUUGUAUUCA